rnacentral:rRNA from 1 species
AUUGAACGCUGGCGGCAGGCCUAACACAUGCAAGUCGAGCGGAUGAAGGGAGCUUGCUCCUGGAUUCAGCGGCGGACGGGUGAGUAAUGCCUAGGAAUCUGCCUGGUAGUGGGGGAUAACGUCCGGAAACGGGCGCUAAUACCGCAUACGUCCUGAGGGAGAAAGUGGGGGAUCUUCGGACCUCACGCUAUCAGAUGAGCCUAGGUCGGAUUAGCUAGUUGGUGGGGUAAAGGCCUACCAAGGCGACGAUCCGUAACUGGUCUGAGAGGAUGGUCAGUCACACUGGAACUGAGACACGGUCCAGACUCCUACGGGAGGCAGCAGUGGGGAAUAUUGGACAAUGGGCGAAAGCCUGAUCCAGCCAUGCCGCGUGUGUGAAGAAGGUCUUCGGAUUGUAAAGCACUUUAAGUUGGGAGGAAGGGCAGUAAGUUAAUACCUUGCUGUUUUGACGUUACCAACAGAAUAAGCACCGGCCAACUUCGUG